CCUUUAGCUCAGUUGGUUAGAGCAGACGGCUCAUAACCGUCCGGUCGUAGGUUCGAGUCCUACAAGGUA
rnacentral:tRNA from 1 species